GAUGGAAACUACUCAGUGUGCUUCCUCCCCACCUUCUGAUCAGUGGGUGAGGGAAGGUGAGCAAAUCGUCUCUCUCCAGCUCUGAAUUCUCCAGUCCCCAGGUGAGUCUCACCUCCCUUGGGCAAUCUCCACUGAGAUUCCUAAUAGCAACACCAGAACAGAAGUUUUUAUCUGGCUGAUCAGCCACGCUGGCAGGAAUACAUCAGGGCUUCAGGUGAGGCACCCUGCCAUCUGUGUUUGUUUUUGUUGCUAUUGUGGUCUGUUUUCAAAUCGUUUUUCCUUAUGGCAACCCUAAGAUGAAACUAGAAGGGUUUUCUUGGUAAUAUUUUUUUCAGAGGGAACUUGCCAUUGCCUUCCUUAGGACCACAAGACAUUGAGGUCCACAUGCGGGGGUAUUUGCCAUGCAUCAUGGCAAAUCAUGGUUGCCCUACAUCCUGCAUCUAUCCUUUCUCUCUCUCAUAUAUAUUAUCUAUUGCUCCCUACCUUCCAGUUUCUUUUUCUGCAUUCAUAGAACUACCUACCUUUCUACCUACCUACCCACCUACCAACUUACCUACCCAUCUACCCACCUACAUACCUAUCUACCUACCUACCUACCUAUCUCAUAUCUAUUAUCUAUCGCUCCCUACUUUCCAGUUUCUUUUUCUGAAUUUCUUUUUCUUCUUCCUCUCCUCUGUAUUGCGUCCCCUUUUCACUUAUCUUCUGUUUAAAGUAAACCUCUAUUGAUUUUGUCUCUUUCCUACAAUCUAUUAAUUAUUAUCUAUUAUACGUUCUUUGCUUUUGUGCUGCUCUGCUUUGUUCACUUGAGCCACCAAAGUACCUCUAUUUUCUUUCUUUCUUUUUUCUUCCUUCCUUCCUUCCUUCCUUCCUUCCUUCUUUCUUCUUUCUUUCUUUCUUUCUUCCUUCCUUCCUUCCUUCCUUCCUUCCUUUCUUUCUUCCUCCCUUUUGGUUCAGACUCCUACUGCCAGGUUUCCUCAGUUGAAAACCCACCUCAUCCUAUUGACAUUUCCAAAUCAGACCUCCCUCCUCUACCCUUUCUCUCUACUCCUCUUCCCUUCUGUGCUCAGUCCGUUCGGCAGCCAGCCUGAAAAUCUUUUUAUAAGUAUGUUGUGUAGGUACUGUGUGGGCUGUCAUGAGAAUACAAUAUCCAGGAAUGUGAAUUUAUUAACAACCUAAGUGGUGCCGAAUAUAAGAAGGGACAUUAGCCCCAUCUCCACUGCCGUAUAAUGCAGUUUGAAACUACAUUAUAUGAUCACUGUAGAUUCAUAUAAGGCAGUUUAACUAUAUUGAAUCACAUUAUAUGAGUCUACAUCAGGCAUGGGCAAACUUCAGCCAGUAGGAAUUAUGGGAGUUUGUCCAAAAUACCUGGAGGGCCAAAGUUUGCCCAUGCCUGGUUUACACCAACCAAACAAUACAGUAAAACACUUUAUUUAUAUUCUGCCCCUGAAGGGACUCAGGGUGGAUUGCAAUAUAUGUAGAGCAGACAAAGGCAAACAUUCAGUGCCUUAUUUACAAACAUACAAUGAGACACACAACACAGAAAAAGGCAAAGACUUCUCCUUUCAUUUCCGACUUUGGAGACGGUGCUCAUCUCUCGCCCUGGGAGGUGCUCUUCUCCAUUUUCAAACCAAUCAGCCUGCGUUGUUAGUUACCUCCUAGUCAUGUAGCCAGCAUGAUUAAUUGGAGUGACUUUUUUUGCCUUUUCUUGCCAAAGCAGUACCUAUUUAUCUACUCACAUUUGCAUAUUUUCAAACUUCUAGGUUGGCAGGAGCUGGGGCUAACAGCGGAAACUCAAACUGCUGACUUUUUGAAUUCCAGGUCAUCAGGUCAGCUGUUCAGCAGGACAAGGGUUUAACCAUUGUGCUACCGUGGCCCAAACUGGUAGAGUAUCCUUUGCCCAGAAUUAUGAAAUGCUCCAAAAUAUAAAAUUGGUUGCAAGAAUGAAUUAGGUAGUGACACCUUGACAUUCUGAUGGUUUCAAUGUAGACCUUUCAUGCACAAAGUGAUUAAAAUAUUGAUGAUAAAAUUACCUUUUGGCUAUACGUAUAAGUUGUACAGUCAUCCCUCUGUAUUUACUGUUUUUAUUUUUGAGGCU
rnacentral:lncRNA from 1 species